AUUGAACGCUGGCGGCAGGCUUAACAAAUGAAAGUCGAGCGGAGAUGAGGUGCUUGCACCUUAUCUUAGCGGCGGACGGGUGAGUAAUGCUUAGGAAUCUGCCUAUUAGAGGUGGACAACAUUCCGAAAGGAAGGCUAAUACCGCAUACGUCCUACGGGAGAAAGCAGGGGAUCUUCGGACCUUGCGCUAAUAGAUGAGCCUAAGUCGGAUUAGCUAGUUGGUGGGGUAAAGGCCUACCAAGGUGACGAUGUGUAGCGGGUCUGAGAGGAUGCACCACCACACUGGGACUGAGACACGGCCCAGACUCCUACGGGAGGCAGCAGUGGGGGAUAUUGGGCAAUGGGGGGAAACCUGAUCCAGCCAUGCUGCGUGUGUGAAGAAGGCCUUAUGGUUGUAAAGCACUUUAAGCGAGGAGGAGGCUACUGAGACUAAUACUCUUGGAUAGCGGACGUUACUCGCAGAAUAAGCACCGGCUAACUCUGUGCCAGCCGCCGCUGUAAAAC
rnacentral:rRNA from 1 species